rnacentral:rRNA from 1 species
GACGAACGCUGGCGGCGUGCCUAAUACAUGCAAGUCGAACGCAGUGGGGACGGGUGAGUAACACGUGGGUAACCUCGCAUCAGAGGGGAUAAAGCUUGGAAAACGGUGCAAAACCGAUACUGAUGGAUGGACCCGCGGUGCAGUAGCUAGUUGGUGAGGUAACGGCUCACAAAGGCAACGAUGCAUAGGCGACCGGAGAGGGUGACCGGCCACACUGGAACUGAGACACGGCCCAGACUCCUACGGGAGGCAGCAGUAGGGAAUCUUCGGCAAUGGACGAAAGUCUGACCGAGCAACGCCGCGUGAGUGAAGAAGGUUUUCGGAUCGUAAAACUCUGUUGUUAGAGAAGCGGUAUCUAACCAGAAAGCCACGGCUAACUACGUGCCAGCAGCCGCGGUAAUAC